rnacentral:lncRNA from 1 species
UUGCAGUCUUGCCGCCACCGGAGAAGCUAGUCUCUAACAUUCGAAAACACUAUAAUUUGUUAGUUAACACUCAGGUUUGAACUCACCUGUGAAACACUCAUUUUUUUCCAUUUCCAGUUUUUUCGCAACGAAUGAUUAAGAUAUUACCAAUUUUUAGAUAUAGCAUGGAGUAUUUUUAUGCGAUGUGUGUUUCUUGGUUUCGAAUAUGGAAGAAAUUUGUUAUCUCAAAUCAAAGGUUGUUGGCGUGUAGAUUUUUUUUGUUUGUUUGUUUAAUUGGUCUCCGAUGUGAAAAAUUCAGCUCUAGUAACACGGAGAACUGUGUUUCUGUCAUUUUUUUUUUUUUUUUUUUUUUUUACUUGCGUUUUCUGGGCUGCCAAACGGAAAGAUGUGGAGAUUCUGGUGAAAAUUUUUGAUAAUCUGUUUUGAUGCGAUUUAUAGGUGAAAGGGAGCUUUUUUUCUGAGGUGAUGCCAAGGUGAUUUUCUGUUAGCGGUUUCGAUUUUCAAUUCCAUUUAAUCUGCUCCAUGUUGUUGAGUGAGUGAACAAUAUUGGGAUUAAGGGUUCUAGUGUUACAUGAAAAAUUGAUUUGGAUUUGUAUGGGUUUGGGGCAUUUCUCUGCUUCAAUGUUAAAAAUAUGUUUUGGCUAUAUUGUAACAUGGGGUUAACAGGUUACUUUGUAACAUGGGGUUAACAGGUUAACAGAAUUUUAUGAUGGCGCAUGAAGAAGAUAGGAGAAGAAAAACUAUUUUUUCAUUUUUCAAAUCAAAAGUUAAUAUAGCAAAAAGUAAUACACUUUCUCUAUCUAACGUUGGUACUUCAAUUUUUCAGAUUCAGAUUCAAUAGUAGAUGAUUUCUAUUCCAUGAAAAAACGUCGGGCACAACUUCAAUAGGUAAUUUUUUUUUAAUAUUUGUCCGUUUAUGUUCACUUUUGCUAUAUAUUGUUAUGAAAUUAUUUGGUUUAUAUAAUUUUUGCAUGUACAUGUUCUAUAAACUUUUUUUUUUGGUAAUUCAUUAAAAUUUUUCAUAGCCCAGUACAAAUUAAAAUCCUGGUUCCGCCCUUGGGUGUUGAUGCAAGAAGGUCGUCGUUUGGUGUUGGUGCUAUUGACAGGGUAGGAUUGUCAUUUACCAGUGUUGGUGCCAGAACGUCGUCAUCUAUUGUUGGUGUAGGUACCGGUAUAAGAUCACCAUUUAUCGUUGUUGUUGGGUGCGGUUAAGGAAUGUCCUCAUAUGUUGUUGGUGCUGGUGUCGGCGUAGAAUCAUUUACUAGUGUUGGUGCAGGAAGGUCAUUCAUAUAUUGUUGGUGAUGGUGCAGGACUGUGACAAACAUGGUUAGAGCAAUGACGUUUAAGCCAACAAGCAAAGCAACUACUGCAAAACCUUUUGUCAAAGCAAUCCUUAUCAAUUUCCACAACAAUUUUACAACAGGUAUCGCUAAUCGCAGUCUGUGAAUCCCUUAGUAACUUGUUAAUUUCACCUGCGCAUGAAGGCAUGCGAUGGAAGGCUGACAAACAUUUCUUGACAAUGGCAGGAGGUGCCCAGGGGAAUGGUAUUCUAGGACCUGAUCUCCAAUGUAAUAGCAACAUCUUUGUGUCCAUGUUUGAGUCUGCAUCCGUUUCACUCUUGUCAAGCCUUGGUUUGUUAACAUGAGCAUGCAAGCAAGAAUACAAAGAAUGGGACUAAAACUCCUCUCAUUGUCUCUCUAUGUCUUUAACCUUUGUUUUUGGAAGUAAUAUAGCUAUGUGUUAUGGCGAUCUAGUUGCCAUUUAAAGAGUCGAUAUGAGAGUUUGUUUGAAUAGGAAACUGAGUAUUAGUUACAUUGGUCAUCAUUGAAAGUGAUAGAUCAUCCAAUUAAAUUGUGUGUGAAUAUGUUCCAUUACUAUUCUGGUCUUAAUGGAUUAUCAUUUU